rnacentral:sRNA from 1 species
UGGAUAAUGUUUUUAAUGUCCACCUGGGA